rnacentral:rRNA from 1 species
GUGGGGAAUUUUGGACAAUGGGCGAAAGCCUGAUCCAGCCAUGCCGCGUGCAGGAUGAAGGCCUUCGGGUUGUAAACUGCUUUUGUACGGAACGAAACGGUCCUGGCUAAUAUCCGGGGCUAAUGACGGUACCGUAAGAAUAAGCACCGGCUAACUACGUGCCAGCAGCCGCGGUAAUACGUAGGGUGCGAGCGUUAAUCGGAAUUACUGGGCGUAAAGCGUGCGCAGGCGGUGCUGUAAGACAGGCGUGAAAUCCCCGGGCUCAACCUGGGAAUUGCGCUUGUGACUGCAGUGCUGGAGUACGGCAGAGGGGGAUGGAAUUCCGCGUGUAGCAGUGAAAUGCGUAGAUAUGCGGAGGAACACCGAUGGCGAAGGCAGUCCCCUGGGCCUGUACUGACGCUCAUGCACGAAAGCGUGGGGAGCAAACAGGAUUAGAUACCCGGGUAGUCC